rnacentral:miRNA from 1 species
GGGCGAAUACUCCUAUGGCAGA